rnacentral:rRNA from 1 species
GUGAGGAAUAUUGGUCAAUGGGCGAGAGCCUGAACCAGCCAAGUCGCGUGAAGGAAGAAGGAUCUAUGGUUCGUAAACUUCUUUUGCAGGGGAAUAAAGUGCGGGACGUGUCCUGUUUUGUAUGUACCCUGAGAAUAAGGAUCGGCUAACUCCGUGCCAGCAGCCGCGGUAAUACGGAGGAUCCGAGCGUUAUCCGGAUUUAUUGGGUUUAAAGGGUGCGUAGGUGGUUUGAUAAGUCAGCGGUGAAAGUUUGCAGCUUAACUGUAAAAAUGCCGUUGAAACUGUCGGACUUGAGUGUAAAUGAGGUAGGCGGAAUGCGUGGUGUAGCGGUGAAAUGCAUAGAUAUCACGCAGAACUCCGAUUGCGAAGGCAGCUUACUAAGCUACAACUGACACUGAAGCACGAAAGCGUGGAGAUCAAACAGGAUUAGAUACCCUAGUAGUCC